rnacentral:rRNA from 1 species
UGGGGAAUUUUGGACAAUGGGCGAAAGCCUGAUCCAGCAAUGCCGCGUGUGUGAAGAAGGCCUUCGGGUUGUAAAGCACUUUUGUCCGGAAAGAAAUCCUUGGCUCUAAUACAGUCGGGGGAUGACGGUACCGGAAGAAUAAGCACCGGCUAACUACGUGCCAGCAGCCGCGGUAAUACGUAGGGUGCAAGCGUUAAUCGGAAUUACUGGGCGUAAAGCGUGCGCAGGCGGUUUGCUAAGACCGAUGUGAAAUCCCCGGGCUCAACCUGGGAACUGCAUUGGUGACUGGCAGGCUAGAGUAUGGCAGAGGGGGGUAGAAUUCCACGUGUAGCAGUGAAAUGCGUAGAGAUGUGGAGGAAUACCGAUGGCGAAGGCAGCCCCCUGGGCCAAUACUGACGCUCAUGCACGAAAGCGUGGGGAGCAAACAGGAUUAGAUACCCUGGUAGUCCACGCCCUAAACGAUGUCAACUAGUUGUUGGGGGACUUCAUUUUCCUAGUAACGUAGCUAACGCGUGAAGUUGACCGCCUGGGGAGUACGGUCGCAAGAUUAAAACUCAAAGGAAUUGACGGGGUCAUA